AGUGAACGCUGGCGGUAGGCCUAACACAUGCAAGUCGAACGGCAGCACAGUAAGAGCUUGCUCUUACGGGUGGCGAGUGGCGGACGGGUGAGGAAUACAUCGGAAUCUACUUUUUCGUGGGGGAGAACGUAGGGAAACUUACGCUAAUACCGCAUACGACCUACGGGUGAAAGCAGGGGAUCUUCGGACCUUGCGCGUUUGAAUGAGCCGAUGUCGGUUUAGCUAGUUGGUGGUGUAAAGGCCCACCAAGGCGACGAUCCGUAGCUGGUCUGAGAGGAUGAGCAGCCACACUGGGCCUGAGACGCGGUCCAGACUCCUACGGGAGGCAGCAGUGGGGAAUAUUGGACAAUGGGCGCAAGCCUGAGCCAGCGAUACCGCGUGGGUGAAGAAGGCCUUCGGGUUGUAAAGCCCGUUUGUUGGGAAAGAAAAGCAGCAGGUUAAUACCCCGCUGGUCUGACGGUACCCAAAGAAUAAGCACCGGCUAACUUCGUG
rnacentral:rRNA from 1 species